CUCGCUCAUCUCCUUGGGGCCACUGGGCUUUUCCUCCUCUGUUUUAGAAAGGUUCUCUGUCUUAGAGACACUAGCCCUGUGGCUGUAUUGCGAUCCUUCCUUGGUCUCCACCACUCUCUUUACGUCUCAUGAGCUGGUGCUGCGACAAACGCCAUUUCCUCCCACCUAAUGCUUCCCUAAUGCGCUGGCUUUGAGCCACAGAGAAGCGACCCCACCCUCACCCUCCGGCUGCGGAGGGUCCCCAGCCUCCUCCUGGUGCUCGAGUGGUCCUCUGACCACUUGGGAGCCACCCAGGGUGCAGCGAGAGAAGCCGCCCACCCUCACCUGCUCCUCCCGGUCGUCAACCACUGAAAACCGCGUUGGCUGGAAGUGCUGCCUACAGCUCUGGCUAAAUUUCCAUGCGCGGCUGGGUCCACACGUGGAUUUUCUUUACUCUGUUUUAUGGCUUGUCCGCAUGCCAGUACCACACUGCUUUUACUACCCAAGCUUUGUUUUAUUACAUUGUGAGCCUCCCAGCCAGGAACGUGGAUGUGACUUCUGAGAGAGACCAGCUGGGGAUGUCUUGGAGCAGAAAUCCAGGCCACGUGGCCCAUCGGGAUGACGCAUCCCAAGCACGUGGUCGCAGGGCUGCUCAGGCACCAUGUGGCACUCCCUGGGUGCCCUGGGAACCCUCAACUUCUCCCCAUGACAGGUCUGGGUCAGGGCUCCUCCUGCGGGCCCUUCUCAGCAGGGCCGGCCUGGCAGUUGAGGAGGGGCCCCUGGCCCAGACUGGGGGCGUGUGGUGAAGUGGGCUCCUGGCAUGGCUGGGCAUCUCCAUACGGAGAAGUGUUCCAAGGCUGGAGGGACUCAGGGGCAGGGCGGGACUCUGGUUCAUUUUCCUGACUUCCUCUAGAUCUUUGCAGUGCUCAGCGCAAAUCUGGCAGGAGGAUAUGGAGGACUGUCCCAGGGCAUGCUUUUCAGAAGAAGGAGAGAAGGGGCCCACCCCUGAGAGAAACAGAGGAAGCCCACAGCCCCUGGUUCCUGGUGAACACCCGAUGGGCAGGGAGGCCAGGAGCAUGCCGGGACAAGAGGCAGGCGUGAGACCGGUGCUAUGGGAGGUCAGAAGGGGCGGCCAUCAGGCACUUCCUGGAUGUGGCCAGGGGACCUCUGAAGAGUGGGGGUACAGGCCAGCAGGGCGGGUG
rnacentral:lncRNA from 1 species